UUCAGAAUUCACUAUUUUGUGUCCUUUAUGUGUUUUCAUCCAUCAGCGUUUUCUCACUACAAUAUCCAGCAUGCAUUACGCAAGUGUCGUACAACCGCUGGGAACCACAUGACAUUGAUAAAUCUUCUAAGGCUGGCACACUUGUUUGUUUGAAACAUCUGGAGGCAUGGGAGCAUGGGGUUGCAGGGGAGCAGCUCUGUGCAGCUGGCUGCUGGCACUGCACUUGAAGGUAAACAGGGAAAAUGGGGAAAGCCCCCUGUGUUAUCCACCGGAAUAGAGCUCCACGUCUCCCAGCGCUGAGGGUGGAAAUAGCUCCUCGUCAGCAAAGCAGGCAUUCUGCAGUGUGUUAUGUGAGUCACUCCAGCUCUUUCUCCAAGUGUGGCACUCGGUCGAUGGGAGUGACACCAAUUAUUUAUGUCACAUCCCCUCCGGAAGCAGUGGAUGGAAACUCACAAAGAGAGGACUAUCCAUCAAGCUCGUCCAGUGGGGCUGCACACCUCUGACUCCAGCACAGUGUAGGAUAAGGUCAUGGAUGAAGUUGAAAUACCUUGCACUGGUGCACGUGGCAAAGCAUCUAAGGCAUAUUUUCCUAUGAAUUAAAGGCUUCCAAAGUGGGAUUUGGUAUUGUACAAGCUUCUAAUUCUUUCAAAUCAUUAUUGAAACAUUCUAGUGCUGUAGCACUAGAAUUUACAAUAUGAUGAUGACCAGCUUGUCACGUGAUAACAGCUUACUAUUAG